UGGGGAAUAUUGCACAAUGGGCGCAAGCCUGAUGCAGCCAUGCCGCGUGUGUGAAGAAGGCCUUCGGGUUGUAAAGCACUUUCAGCGGGGAGGAAGGCGAUAAGGUUAAUAACCUUGUCGAUUGACGUUACCCGCAGAAGAAGCACCGGCUAACUCCGUGCUAGCAGCCGCGGUAAUACGGAGGGUGCAAGCGUUAAUCGGAAUUACUGGGCGUAAAGCGCACGCAGGCGGUCUGUCAAGUCGGAUGUGAAAUCCCCGGGCUCAACCUGGGAACUGCAUUCGAAACUGGCAGGCUAGAGUCUUGUAGAGGGGGGUAGAAUUCCAGGUGUAGCGGUGAAAUGCGUAGAGAUCUGGAGGAAUACCGGUGGCGAAGGCGGCCCCCUGGACAAAGACUGACGCUCAGGUGCGAAAGCGUGGGGAGCAAACAGG
rnacentral:rRNA from 1 species